UGUCCAGAAGGUGAAAUGGCUGAACCUAGACUUGCGUUUCAGGGCUCCAUAUCUAUCCUGCUAUCAAAUGUUUGCUGAGUAACGAAAAAAUUGGAGCUCACUUUCCCUCAAGGGGGAGGGUAAGUGGCAAGAUAUUUGCUUAUACUGAGAAUGACGUUUUAAUAGGACUAGCUGAUGAUGAGCAGAUCAAUGGACAGAAUGAUGGAGAAACUUUUUAAUACGAUCAAGGGUUUGGGCAGAAUCAUGAAGGCUUAUAUUGUAAAGUUCUUCUUGUGAAUGUUUUGGAUAAGUUUGAUUUAUUCUAGAAUGCUAUAAGAUGCCUUAAUCCUCAGGCAGAAUUCCAUGCUUGAGGCCAUUAUUUUUCACAACUAAAGCUGAGAAGAGUAUGUUUCUUGAGGAGAAAACAAGGUAUCUUGGGAUAAGUUUGUUCUGUUUUUUUCUCAACUGGGAUAGGCCAAAUGCAAGAGAAACAAUAUUUCUCAUGCAAUGAAGUGUGUGUAGAAUCGAGAAGGCCUAAUGUGGGGAAGCAAUUAUGGUGAAUUAUUGGAUUGCUGUGUGUUAUUCUUGGUUCUAUGAAGCGGCAAAUAAUUAUGCCUGCUUUGAUCAAUAAUCCACACUCAAAUGCCUCCUCUAAGUACAAAUUCGAUGUCAUGUUGUGGACGUUUUUAUUGAAGUUAUUGUAGGCAUCAAUCCAGAAGUGUUUUUAGCUGUUGUAAAUGCAGUCAAGGUGUUUUUCCAAGCAUCUUAGUCAUUGAUUUCAUGUCAGUAUCAUCAAAUUCUGGCUGCAUAAACAGUUGCUAUGAAUGAUUCCAGUAUUUUUUCUCAUAGACAUGCAAUUAAUUCUAAAUUACUAUAAAAAUAAAUAUUCUUCUUGGGUUGCGAUAUACGAGUGAUGUUGGUGAAGCUAAACAUACAAAACUCUGGAGGUAAUUUCCUUUGCUAAUUUGCAUUGUUCUUUCUUUUGUCUAUUAUCAUUUUGGAAGGCCUUUUUUUUCUAGUUAAGAAGAUUUUAUUUUGAUAUUCCCAUUCCAUCAAUGGUGCAAGUUCAUUAUUUCAUAAAUUUCUUGAAGAAUCAAUUUCAGGCAUUGGUAGUAUCAUUGAGGUUGUCAAAAAGAAAAUUUCAGGAGUUGAUGCAUUACACAAGCUUAGCCAAGCAUCAAAUUCUAUCUAAAGGAGAUGUUUUUUGCUGGGCCAAAUUGUCGGGAUUCAGAAACUCAUGUCUACCACUAAAAUUUAAGGCACUCAAGCUGUGAUGUAAUCUUGCCCUCUCCACCAGAGCUCUCCAUUGAAAAGCAAGCCAUAAAUUUUAAUGAAUUGCUUGAGGAAUCAAUUAAUGUCAGGAGUUGGUGUACUACAAGCGUGGCAUAUUUAAUAAUGAGGUGCUUUUUCCCUUUUCUAUAUACUCAGCUACAACAUUUUAAGAUUUAUUGUUUAUCAAUAUUCUGGCCUUAUGUAAAACAGUUAUCAAAUUACAUAUAUUGAAGAUGUUUUAGCUGGAUUGUCAAGAUUCAGAAAGCCAGUGUAAGGAAAAUGGUGAACAUUUGAUACAUUCUUGCUUUUUACCAGGCUCACUGGCUACAUGUUCUGUGGUUACUAAUUGCAUGGAUUUAUAUAUUUUUCACCUUAUUUUUCAUUCUCUUCUGUCACUUGGAAUUUAGGUAAUCUUUUUUUCAGCAAGAAAGUUAUUUAUGAGUUUAAAGGCUGUAUUAUUUUGUGAAGCAAGUACAUUAAUUUCUGUUAUCGUUCUACUGAGGAUUGGAAGAGGGUAUAUUUAUAUCAAUCAAAGUUCUAUGUAUAAUUGGAUAUAACCUUUCUUCUUCAAUUUUUGUGCUUGAAUUAUAGACGUAUAAGUAGGAAAUUUUUGCUGCUAAUAUGUUCAUUUUAUCCAUUUUCAAUGUCACCUGGUGGGCUUAGCAGGAGAUGAUAUAGCAAAUAAUUCAA